rnacentral:lncRNA from 1 species
AAUAAUGUACUCAUGAGCUAGGAUAUCUAAUAGAAAAAGGUAGAUUUUAGAUCAUUCCAGCCUCUCUUUAUUUUAUUUUCCCAGAUAUUACUGUGUUGUUCCGGCAACAGCCACUAUGACUCUGUGUAUACAAAACAAUUCCAGGAAAAUGCUGCUAUUUGCCAGGCUGUAUUAUACGAGAUCCUGUACAAAGAUGUGUUUGGCAUGGAUGAGGAAGAGUUAAGGACUGCAGUUGAGAUGUUUCGAAGUGGAUCCAGGAAGAACAGAAACAGUGUCUCUAUAGGAAGUGAGGAUGCAAACUUUGAUUGUCUUCAUGAAAAAGUAACCAGAAAUCCAUCAGAAAAGAGAGUGGACGACUGGGAAGGCAAUGCUACAGACAAUCCACAGGAGGAUAAGUUCAAACAAGGCAUUGGAGAAGAAAAGGUUUGUCAGGAAAGAAUUCCUUAUGGUGGUGGUUGGUUUUUUUGUUGUUGUAUGAUGUU